GGUGAGUCGGGUCCUAAGGCGAGGCCGACAGGCGUAGUCGAAUGGAUGAACGGGUGGAUAUUCCCGUACCGACCAUGGACCGGCAAAACCGAGACGGUGAGUACUAACCUCCGCCUCGUGGUGGUUCCUUCCUUCGGGUUGGUUCCGCCGCGUGGUGUUGGGAGCGUAGCCGUAGUAGGUCAGCGCAGGGGUGACACGGAAUGGGAGCCGGCCGCGGAGGUGGUUUUCCGUGGUCAAGCACGCAGCCAGUCAUGUAGGCAAAUCCGCAUGGCGCGCAUGGCGAGGUGUGAUGAUGGGAGCCGUUAUGGUUCGAUAUCCGGUUGUCCAGGCCGUCGAGAAAAGCCUCGGCGUGAGGGCCAUGGCCGCCCGUACCCCAAACCGACACUGGUGGUCAGGUAGAGAAUACCAAGGCGAUCGAGCGAAUCCUGGUCAAGGAACUCGGCAAAUCACUCCCGUGCCUUCGGUAUAAGGGAGACCCACUGGGGUGAAGGACCUUGCGUCCGGAGCUUUGGUGGGUGGCACAGACCAGGGGGUAGCGACUGUUUACCAAAAACACAGGUGCAUGCGAAGGCGAAAGCCGCUGUAUAUGCACUGACGCCUGCCCGGUGCCGGAAGGUUAAGAGGAUCCGUCAAUCCUUCGGGAUGAAGCGGUGAAUUCAAGCCCCGGUAAACGGCGGUGGUAACUAUAACCAUCCUAAGGUAGCGAAAUUCCUUGUCGGGUAAGUUCCGACCUGCACGAAUGGCGUAACGACUUCCCCACUGUCUCGACCAGGAGCUCGGCGAAAUUGCAGUACGAGUAAAGAUGCUCGUUAAGCGCAGAAGGACGAAAAGACCCCGGGACCUUUACUAUACCUUGGUAUUGGCGUUAGGCGCGGAUUGUGUAGCAUAGGCGGGAGGCUUCGAAGCGUGGGCGCCAGCUCAUGUGGAGCCGCAAGGUGAAAUACCGCUCUGUUCUCGUUUGACGUCUAACCUCGACAAGUCAUCCUUGUCAGGGACAGUGCCUGGCGGGUAGUUCAACUGGGGCGGUUGCCUCCCAAAGAGUAACGGAGGCGCUCAAAGGUCCGCUCAGCCCGGUUGGCAAUCGGGUGUCGAGUGUAAUCGCACAAGCGGGCUUGACUGCGAGGACGACGGUCCGAGCAGGGACGAAAGUCGGAGAUAGUGAUCCGGUGCCGGCGCACGGGCGCGGCAUCGCUCAACGGAUAAAAGGUACCCCGGGGAUAACAGGCUGAUCAUUCCCAAGAGUCCAUAUCGACGGGAUGGUUUGGCACCUCGAUGUCGGCUCGUCGCAUCCUGGGGCUGGAGCAGGUCCCAAGGGUUCGGCUGUUCGCCGAUUAAAGCGGCACGCGAGCUGGGUUCAGAACGUCGUGAGACAGUUUGGUCUCUAUCCUCUGCGCUCGUUGGAAUCCUGAGGAGGCCUGCCCAUAGUACGAGAGGACCUGGGUGGACGAACCUCUGGUAUGCCGGUUGUCGCGCCAGCGGCACGGCCGGUUGGCUACGUUCGGGAGGGAUAACCGCUGAAAGCAUCUAAGCGGGAAGCCUGCUCCAAGAUUAGGAUUCCAUGGAUCUUCGAGAUCCUGUAGCCCGCAUGUUGAACACGUGUUUGAUAGGCCGGAGGUGGAAGCCCCGUGAGGGGUGGAGCCGACCGGUACUAACGGGCGACGGCGACACAAC
rnacentral:rRNA from 1 species